GAUGGGAAACGGAUUAAUAUUUCCGUACCUUGGAUAGCUGCGAUGGAGAGACGGAGAAGGCUAGGUGAGCCGGGCGACGGUUGUCCCGGUUUAAGCAUGUAGGCAGUGGGAUUAGGCAAAUCCGGUCCCACAAUGCCGAGACGCGACGACGACUGCCCUUUUAGGGCGGGAAGUCAUUGAUGCCCUGCUUCCAGGAAAAUCUUCUAAGCUUCAGGUCAUAACGAACCGUACCCCAAACCGACACAGGU
rnacentral:rRNA from 1 species